rnacentral:rRNA from 1 species
AUUGAACGCUGGCGGCAGGCCUAACACAUGCAAGUCGAGCGGAUGAAGGGAGCUUGCUCCUGGAUUCAGCGGCGGACGGGUGAGUAAUGCCUAGGAAUCUGCCUGGUAGUGGGGGAUAACGUCCGGAAACGGGCGCUAAUACCGCAUACGUCCUGAGGGAGAAAGUGGGGGAUCUUCGGACCUCACGCUAUCAGAUGAGCCUAGGUCGGAUUAGCUAGUUGGUGGGGUAAAGGCCUACCAAGGCGACGAUCCGUAACUGGUCUGAGAGGAUGAUCAGUCACACUGGAACUGAGACACGGUCCAGCCUCCUAAGGGAGGCAGCAGUGGGGAAUAUUGGACAAUGGGCGAAAGCCUGAUCCAGCCAUGCCGCGUGUGUGAAGAAGGUCUUCGGAUUGUAAAGCACUUUAAGUUGGGAGGAAGGGCAGUAAGUUAAUACCUUGCUGUUUUGACGUUACCAACAGAAUAAGCACCGGCUAACUUCGUG